rnacentral:piRNA from 1 species
UGUGCAUGCUGAGCAAUACCACGGCCAUCGC